rnacentral:rRNA from 1 species
UACGUAGGGUGCAAGCGUUGUCCGGAAUUAUUGGGCGUAAAGAGCUCGUAGGCGGUCAGUCGCGUCUGCUGUGAAAACUCGGGGGCUUAACCCCGGGCCUGCAGUGGGUACGGGCUGACUAGAGUGCGGUAGGGGGAGACUGGAAUUCCUGGUGUAGCGGUGAAAUGCGCAGAUAUCAGGAGGAACACCGGUGGCGAAGGCGGGUCUCUGGGCAGUAACUGACGCUGAGGAGCGAAAAGCGUGGGGGAGCGAAACAGG